GGACCCGCACAAGUAGUGGAGCAUGUGGUUUAAUUCGAAGAUACGCGCAGAACCUUACCAACACUUGACAUGUUCGUCGCGACUUUGAGAGAUCAAAGUUUUCGGUUCGGCCGGACGAAACACAGGUGCUGCAUGGCUGUCGUCAGCUCGUGUCGUGAGAUGUUGGGUUAAGUCCCGCAACGAGCGCAACCCUCACUUUUAGUUGCCAUCAUUAAGUUGGGCACUCUGAAAGAACUGCCAGUGAUAAGCUGGAGGAAGGUGGGGAUGACGUCAAGUCCUCAUGGCCCUUACGUGUUGGGCUACACACGUGCUACAAUGGUAUCUACAACAGGAAGCAAGACUGCGAAGUUCGGAUUGGGGUCUGCAACUCGACCCCAUGAAGUCGGAAUCGCUAGUAAUCGUGGAACAGCAUGCCACGGUGAAUACGUUC
rnacentral:rRNA from 1 species